rnacentral:rRNA from 1 species
GCGGCAUGCUUUACACAUGCAAGUCGAACGGUAACAGGGAGCUUGCUCCGCUGACGAGUGGCGAACGGGUGAGUAAUAUAUCGGAACGUACCCAAGAGUGGGGGAUAACGUAGCGAAAGUUACGCUAAUACCGCAUACGAUCUAUGGAUGAAAGCAGGGGACCUUCGGGCCUUGUGCUCCUGGAGCGGCCGAUAUCUGAUUAGCUAGUUGGUGAGGUAAAGGCUCACCAAGGCGACGAUCAGUAGCUGGUCUGAGAGGACGACCAGCCACACUGGAACUGAGACACGGUCCAGACUCCUACGGGAGGCAGCAGUGGGGAAUUUUGGACAAUGGGCGCAAGCCUGAUCCAGCAAUGCCGCGUGAGUGAAGAAGGCCUUCGGGUUGUAAAGCUCUUUUGUCAGGGAAGAAACGGCUGUGGCUAAUAUCCACGGCUAAUGACGGUACCUGAAGAAUAAGCACCGGCUAACUACGUGCCAGCAGCCGCGGUAAUACGUAGGGUGCAACCGUUAAUCGGAAUUACUGGGCGUAAAGCGUGCGCAGGCGGUUUUGUAAGUCUGUCGUGAAAUCCCCGGGCUCAACCUGGGAAUUGCGAUGGAGACUGCAAGGCUAGAAUCUGGCAGAGGGGGGUAGAAUUCCACGUGUAGCAGUGAAAUGCGUAGAGAUGUGGAGGAACACCGAUGGCGAAGGCAGCCCCCUGGGUCAAGAUUGACGCUCAUGCACGAAAGCGUGGGGAGCAAACAGGAUUAGAUACCCUGGUAGUCCACGCCCUAAACGAUGUCUACUAGUUGUCGGGUUUUAAUUAACUUGGUAACGCAGCUAACGCGUGAAGUAGACCGCCUGGGGAGUACGGUCGCAAGAUUAAAACUCAAAGGAAUUGACGGGGACCCGCACAAGCGGUGGAUGAUGUGGAUUAAUUCGAUGCAACGCGAAAAACCUUACCUACCC